AUCGCGUUUCCGCCGUGUUUAGUCCGGUACCACUGCGAGGUUAUCAAUAGGAAAACCCAUCUGUGUCCAAUUAAGGCAAGUAUGGGCUCACUCCCAUAAAUGACACAAACCUCCCUCAUUACGACCUGUUUUAUUGAAAAAGCUAAAAGUCAAACUAAACGGGGGUAAAGAAGUGUAACAGAAUACACUGGACAUAUGGGUCUCUGUUGGUUUGAUUAAAGAAGACCUUCAUUAUCUUCUUUUCAUUACUGUCACGUGAUGAAGGAAUCAUCCAGAAAACCUGGCAUGAAAGACAAACCAAGUCAAAUAGGUUGUUUCAAGAGUGCAGAUGAGACAACUUAUCUAGCCUCAUAUAUCAAGAUCGCGACGUUGCAACAGGAUCUCAAUGGGACUACGAGGGAAAGCGACCCCUUUACAAGCUCUUCGGGAAGAUCUUGCACGCAUUUAUUCACUUCUGCUCCUCCAUAUUGCUGGAUCCACCCCCCUUAACUCAACGGAUCACGGUCAUGGUGGCUUUUUUCGCCAAAAAAAAUCACGUGCAGAAAUUCACCUCGAACACGCAAAGCAUGCGAGUGGGUCGAUCUUCACCUGCCACGCUUUUAAAGGCAGAAAUAAACGGUGUUCCAGUUUG